rnacentral:rRNA from 1 species
UACGGAGGGUGCAAGCGUUAUCCGGAUUCACUGGGUUUAAAGGGUGCGUAGGUGGGUUGAUAAGUCAGUGGUGAAAUCCCCGAGCUUAACUUGGGAACUGCCAUUGAUACUAUUGAUCUUGAAUACCGUGGAGGUCAGCGGAAUAUGUCAUGUAGCGGUGAAAAUGCUUAGAUAUGACAUAGAACACCAAUUGCGAAGGCAGCUGGCUACGCGAAUAUUGACACUGAUGCACGAAAAGCGUGGGGGAUCAAACAGG